rnacentral:rRNA from 1 species
CACGUAGGGUGCGAGCGUUGUCCGGAAUUAUUGGGCGUAAAGAGCUCGUAGGCGGUGUGUCGCGUCGGCCGUGAAAACCUGCAGCUUAACUGUGGGCGUGCGGUCGAUACGGGCAUCACUGGAGUUCGGCAGGGGAGACUGGAAUUCCUGGUGUAGCGGUGAAAUGCGCAGAUAUCAGGAGGAACACCGGUGGAGAAGGCGGGUCUCUGGGCCGAUACUGACGCUGAGGAGCGAAAGCGUGGGGAGCGAACAGG